CUUAUAUUGAUUUGGCACUACUUGGAUAUGGCUUCGGCGCAUAUCAAGUCCCACUAAUUUCUUUGGAAUAGAGGAAAAUUCCGCAAUCCCAGAAACACGUCCAGCCCAUUGAAACCACCGUAGUUCAUUAGGAAGACAUAUAGGACCUUGGAGAA